UUGAAUUUUAAUGAAGAGUUUGGUUGUAGCUGGCCCCAUUCAUUUGGGCUGUGCACACCUUCCUCUUUCAUCCCACACACACCUGUGAACCUGUGAGACAGAGAUGGGGAAUUUACUUGCUGCUUUUUGGAAUACAAAGGCAAUAGGUUAUUGGACCCCCCCUCUGUCUACUCAAUUAAUAUAAACUCAAUUAUUUUAAAACGACAUGCUAAUGGAUGUAACAACAUCUCAUAC
rnacentral:misc_RNA from 1 species